AUAUUAUAUAUCAAACUCCCUUGUGUGGGGUAGUUUUGGAUGUGGGGGUUGCUGGCCUCUUGAAAGAGGUCAGCUCUCCUGAAAUGCAUUAGCAGAACAGCCUGUUUUGUUCAUUGGUGUGAUAACUAUCUACGCUAUAGAACCAUGAAGGCAAGUUCAGCUUCCUAACCGUCUCCGGACAAUUUAUCAUCUAU
rnacentral:misc_RNA from 1 species